rnacentral:rRNA from 1 species
CAGUAGCCACGGUAAUACGGAGGGGGCUAGCGUUGUUCGGAAUUACUGGGCGUAAAGCGCACGUAGGCGGCUUGGUAAGUUAGAGGUGAAAGCCUGGAGCUCAACUCCAGAAUUGCCUUUAAGACUGCCGAGCUAGCAGGUGAGAGAGGUAAGUGGAAUUCCGAGUGUAGAGGUGAAAUUCGUAGAUAUUCGGAAGAACACCAGUGGCGAAGGCGGCUUACUGGCUCAUACUGGACGCUGAGGUGCGAAAGCGUGGGGAGCAAACAGGAUUAGAGACCCCCGUAGUCCCUGUCUCUUAUAC